rnacentral:rRNA from 1 species
GAGGAGCCUGCGGCGGAUUAGCUAGUUGGUAGGGUAACGGCUUACCAAGGCGACGAUCCGUAACCGGCCUGAGAGGGCGGUCGGUCACACUGACACUGACAUACGGGUCAGACUCCUACGGGAGGCAGCAGUCGGGAAUUUUGGACAAUGGGCGAAAGCCUGACCCAGCAACGCCGCGUGAAGGAUGAAAUCCCUCGGGAUGUAAACUUCGCAAGAAUGGGAAGAAUGAGCGAGCGCUAAUACCGUUCGUGAUGACGGUACCAUUUGUAAGCUCCGGCUAACUCCGUGCCAGCAGCCGCGGUAAUACGGGGGGAGCAAGCGUUGUUCGGAUUUACUGGGCGUAAAGGGCGCGUAGGCGGCCAGCGCAAGUCAGUUGUGAAAUCUCCGGGCUUAACUCGGAAAGGUCAACUGAUACUGCGCGGCUAGAGUGCGGAAGGGGCAACUGGAAUUCUCGGUGUAGCGGUGAAAUGCGUAGAUAUCGAGAGG